rnacentral:rRNA from 1 species
AAUGGGUCAGCGACUUAUAUUCUGUAGCAAGGUUAACCGAAUAGGGGAGCCGAAGGGAAACCGAGUCUUAACUGGGCGUUAAGUUGCAGGGUAUAGACCCGAAACCCGGUGAUCUAGCCAUGGGCAGGUUGAAGGUUGGGUAACACUAACUGGAGGACCGAACCGACUAAUGUUGAAAAAUUAGCGGAUGACUUGUGGCUGGGGGUGAAAGGCCAAUCAAACCGGGAGAUAGCUGGUUCUCCCCGAAAGCUAUUUAGGUAGCGCCUCGUGAAUUCAUCUCCGGGGGUAGAGCACUGUUUCGGCAAGGGGGUCAUCCCGACUUACCAACCCGAUGCAAACUGCGAAUACCGGAGAAUGUUAUCACGGGAGACACACGGCGGGUGCUAACGUCCGUCGUGAAGAGGGAAACAACCCAGACCGCCAGCUAAGGUCCCAAAGUCAUGGUUAAGUGGGAAACGAUGUGGGAAGGCCCAGACAGCCAGGAUGUUGGCUUAGAAGCAGCCAUCAUUUAAAGAAAGCGUAAUAGCUCACUGGUCGAGUCGGCCUGCGCGGAAGAUGUAACGGGGCUAAACCAUGCACCGAAGCUGCGGCAGCGACGCUUAUGCGUUGUUGGGUAGGGGAGCGUUCUGUAAGCCUGCGAAGGUGUGCUGUGAGGCAUGCUGGAGGUAUCAGAAGUGCGAAUGCUGACAUAAGUAACGAUAAAGCGGGUGAAAAGCCCGCUCGCCGGAAGACCAAGGGUUCCUGUCCAACGUUAAUCGGGGCAGGGUGAGUCGACCCCUAAGGCGAGGCCGAAAGGCGUAGUCGAUGGGAAACAGGUUAAUAUUCCUGUACUUGGUGUUACUGCGAAGGGGGGACGGAGAAGGCUAUGUUGGCCGGGCGACGGUUGUCCCGGUUUAAGCGUGUAGGCUGGUUUUCCAGGCAAAUCCGGAAAAUCAAGGCUGAGGCGUGAUGACGAGGCACUACGGUGCUGAAGCAACAAAUGCCCUGCUUCCAGGAAAAGCCUCUAAGCAUCAGGUAACAUCAAAUCGUACCCCAAACCGACACAGGUGGUCAGGUAGAGAAUACCAAGGCGCUUGAGAGAACUCGGGUGAAGGAACUAGGCAAAAUGGUGCCGUAACUUCGGGAGAAGGCACGCUGAUAUGUAGGUGAAGUCCCUUGCGGAUGGAGCUGAAAUCAGUCGAAGAUACCAGCUGGCUGCAACUGUUUAUUAAAAACACAGCACUGUGCAAACACGAAAGUGGACGUAUACGGUGUGACGCCUGCCCGGUGCCGGAAGGUUAAUUGAUGGGGUCAGCGCAAGCGAAGCUCUUGAUCGAAGCCCCGGUAAACGGCGGCCGUAACUAUAACGGUCCUAAGGUAGCGAAAUUCCUUGUCGGGUAAGUUCCGACCUGCACGAAUGGCGUAAUGAUGGCCAGGCUGUCUCCACCCGAGACUCAGUGAAAUUGAACUCGCUGUGAAGAUGCAGUGUACCCGCGGCAAGACGGAAAGACCCCGUGAACCUUUACUAUAGCUUGACACUGAACAUUGAGCCUUGAUGUGUAGGAUAGGUGGGAGGCUUUGAAGUGUGGACGCCAGUCUGCAUGGAGCCGACCUUGAAAUACCACCCUUUAAUGUUUGAUGUUCUAACGUUGGCCCCUAAUCGGGGUUGCGGACAGUGUCUGGUGGGUAGUUUGACUGGGGCGGUCUCCUCCUAAAGAGUAACGGAGGAGCACGAAGGUUGGCUAAUCCUGGUCGGACAUCAGGAGGUUAGUGCAAUGGCAUAAGCCAGCUUGACUGCGAGCGUGACGGCGCGAGCAGGUGCGAAAGCAGGUCAUAGUGAUCCGGUGGUUCUGAAUGGAAGGGCCAUCGCUCAACGGAUAAAAGGUACUCCGGGGAUAACAGGCUGAUACCGCCCAAGAGUUCAUAUCGACGGCGGUGUUUGGCACCUCGAUGUCGGCUCAUCACAUCCUGGGGCUGAAGUAGGUCCCAAGGGUAUGGCUGUUCGCCAUUUAAAGUGGUACGCGAGCUGGGUUUAGAACGUCGUGAGACAGUUCGGUCCCUAUCUGCCGUGGGCGCUGGAGAACUGAGGGGGGCUGCUCCUAGUACGAGAGGACCGGAGUGGACGCAUCACUGGUGUUCGGGUUGUCAUGCCAAUGGCACUGCCCGGUAGCUAAAUGCGGAAGAGAUAAGUGCUGAAAGCAUCUAAGCACGAAACUUGCCCCGAGAUGAGUUCUCCCUGACUCCUUGAGAGUCCU